rnacentral:rRNA from 1 species
CGCGUAGGCGGGUUUGCAAGUCCGGGGUGAAAUCCCACAGCUCAACUGUGGAACUGCCUCGGAUACUGUGAGUCUCGAGGGUGGCAGGGGUAUGCGGAACUAUCGGUGGAGCGGUGAAAUGCGUUGAUAUCGAUAGGAACUCCGGUGGCGAAGGCGGCAUACUGGUCCACUUCUGACGCUGACGGGUGAACGAACCGACGGGAGGACGAAC